UUGAUUGCGAAUCGUUGCCUUCAGUGCUGGCCAGCUCUGGCAAGUGCACGUCGGUGACUUUCAUCCAAUACCCUGUGCACCUUUGGCCUUUGCUAGCUUCGGCCGGCAGAGGAAUUUUUACACACACUCGAAUGUAAUGAAAUAUACUGUCGUGCGCAAGCACUAAUGUA
rnacentral:misc_RNA from 1 species